rnacentral:rRNA from 1 species
UCUUGGUCCAUUUUAGAGGAAGUAAAAGUCGUAACAAGGUUCGCCCAACGUAGGUGACGCAACGAGCUUCUUGGACCCGAAGUGAGUACUCAUACCUAUGGAAGCCUUGCAUUUCAGUCUAUCGUGGAUAGGCCACACCGGCAUGAUGACUGGGACUUCACUGUAACCGGUGAGUACCAGCAGCUGCUAACGCAGCUCACAGAUCAAACGUCGGCGGCUCGGUGGGGUCGGAAUGUCCGCCCCAACUGUUCCGAGUUGAGAUAUGACCGGCCUCAUCACGAAAGUGAUUGGGAACUGUCGCGUUCCGUAGGUGAACCUGCGGAAGGAUCAUUA